rnacentral:misc_RNA from 1 species
UACGUAGGUAGCAAGCGUUGUCCGGAAUUAUUGGGCGUAAAGCGCGCGCAGGCGGUCUUUUAAGUCUGAUGUGAAAUCUCGCGGCUCAACCGCGAGCGGUCAUUGGAAACUGGAGGACUUGAGUACAGAAGAGGAGAGCGGAAUUCCACGUGUAGCGGUGAAAUGCGUAGAGAUGUGGAGGAAAACCAGUGGCGAAGGCGGCUCUCUGGUCUGUAACUGACGCUGAGGCGCGAAAGCGUGGGGAGCGAACAGG